AGAGUUUGAUCCUGGCUCAGAACGAACGCUGGCGGCGCGUCUUAAGCAUGCAAGUCGAGCGGCAAGCAUCAGCAAUGGUGCCUAGAGCGGCGGACUGGUGAGUAACGCGUGGAUGAUCUACCUAUAGGUUGGGGAUAGUCGUUAGAAAUAGCGGGUAAUACCGAAUGUGGUUAUCUGACUGUGGUUAGGUAAAGAAAGGGGCUUUGGCCCUGCCUGUAGAUGAGUCCGCGUCCCAUUAGCUAGUUGGUGAGGUAAGAGCCCACCAAGCGAAGAUGGGUAGCCGGCCUGAGAGGGUGAACGGCCACACUGGGACUGAGAUACGGCCCAGACUCCUACGGGAGGCAGCAGCUAAGAAUAUUCCGCAAUGGACGGAAGUCUGACGGAGCGACGCCGCGUGGAUGACGAAGGCCGAAAGGUUGUAAAAUCCUUUUGUGGAUGAAGAAUAAGUGAGGGAGGGAAUGCCCUUAUGAUGACGUUAGUCCAUGAAUAAGCCCCGGCUAAUUACGUGCCAGCAGCCGCGGUAACACGUAAGGGGCGAGCGUUGUUCGGAAUUAUUGGGCGUAAAGGGCGCGUAGGCGGUUACGCAAGUCUGGCGUGAAAGGCGGAAGCUUAACUUCCGGAUUGCGUUGGAAACUGUGGAACUAGAGUCAUGGAGGGGGAGUUGGAAUUCCUGGUGUAGGGGUGAAAUCUGUAGAUAUCAGGAAGAACACCGGUGGCGAAGGCGAACUUCCAGCCGAUGACUGACGCUGAGGCGCGAAAGUGCGGGGAGCAAACAGGAUUAGAUACCCUGGUAGUCCGCACUAUAAACGAUGUACACUAGGUGUUGGACCGAGCGGUUCAGUGCCGGAGCGAACGUGAUAAGUGUACCGCCUGGGGAGUAUGCCCGCAAGGGUGAAACUCAAAUGAAUUGACGGAAGGG
rnacentral:rRNA from 1 species